rnacentral:rRNA from 1 species
GAUGAACGCUGGCGGCGUGCCUAAUACAUGCAAGUCGAGCGAACGGACGAGAAGCUUGCUUCUCUGAUGUUAGCGGCGGACGGGUGAGUAACACGUGGAUAACCUACCUAUAAGACUGGGAUAACUUCGGGAAACCGUAGCUAAUACCGGAUAAUAUUUUGAACCGCAUGGUUCAAAAGUGAAAGACGGUUUUGCUGUCACUUAUAGAUGGAUCCGCGCUGCAUUAGCUAUGUGGUAAGGUAACGGCUUACCAAGGCAACGAUGCAUAGCCGACCUGAGAGGGUGAUCGCCCACACUGGAACUGAGCCACGGUCCAGACUCCUACGGGAGGCAGAAGUAGGGAAGCUUCCGAAAUGGGCGAAAGCCUGACGGAGCAACGCCGCGUGAGUGAUGAAGGUCUUCGGAUCGUAAAACUCUGUUAUUAGGGAAGAACAUAUGUGUAAGUAACUGUGCACAUCUUGACGGUACCUAAUCAGAAAGCCACGGCUAACUACGUG